rnacentral:SRP_RNA from 1 species
GCUGGGUGUGGUGGUGCACACCUGUAGUCCCAGCUACUCGGGAGGCUGAGGCAGGAGAAUGGCAUGAACCUGGGAGGCGGGGCUUGCAGUGAGCCCAGAUUGGGCCACUGUACUCCCGCCUGGGUGACAGAGCAAGACUCUGUCUCAA